UGCAGCCGCGGUAAUUCCAGCUCCAAUAGCGUAUAUUAAAGUUGUUGCAGUUAAAAAGCUCGUAGUUGAAUUUCGGGGUUAGUAGGCUGGUCGUGCCACUGGUACGUACUGGUCUCACUGAUUCCUCCUUCCUGAUGAACUGUAAUGCCAUUAAUUUGGUGUUGCAGGGAAACUGGACUGUUACUUUGAAAAAAUUAGAGUGUUUAAAGCAAGCUAACGCUUGAAUACAUUAGCAUGGAAUAAUGAAAUAGGACGUUCGAUCCUAUUUUGUUGGUUUCUAGGAUUGACGUAAUGAUUAAUAGGGAUAGUUGGGGGGCAUUAGUAUUCAAUUGUCAGAGGUGAAAUUCUUGGAUUUAUUGAAGACUAACUACUGCGAAAGCAUUUGCCAAGGAUGUUUUCAUUAAUCAAGAACGAAAGUUAGGGGAUCGAAGACGAUCAGAUACCGUCGUAGUCUUAACCAUAAACUAUGCCGACUAGGAAUCAGACGAUGUUAAUUUUUUAAUGACUCGUCUGGCACCUU
rnacentral:rRNA from 1 species